rnacentral:lncRNA from 1 species
GUCCAUAGCGGACUGAGAGCCCCGGCCAAGGUACUGGUUCCAGGGGCGGAGGGCCGCAGUCGCCGCCCCUGGCACCUCCUUCUCGGACGUCUCGACCCCCCUCCGUCUGCCCACAGAUCUCCAGGCGGCUCUCCCUGCCCGCCACGGCGCCCCCCGCCGUCUCCCCGCCCGCCGCUCCGCUCCGUCCCCGUCACGGCGACCAAGCCGGUUGCUCUCUAUGCAGCUCCUCCUGUGCAGAAGGACGUCGACGUCGUCCUCCCGCCGGUGUCGGAGAAGACCGUCGUGUUGCCGCACGGCAGCAGCGAGGCCGCCUGAGACAAAGAACACGAGGCGUCGCAUGCUCGGAAGGAUGCUGUCACGCUAGGGGUGUGUGUGGGGUGGAAUAUUUGGAAAGAAAGAACAGAAUCGCAGGAUCUUCCAGGGCAAGGAGGCGACGGUUUUGGCAGUGAAGCACCUGAUUGAUGGAGUUCCUCGUCGCCGCUGAAAAUUCUUAGUUUUGGUUGAUGUACAGCCGAUCUGAUCCCUUGAGAAUCAGAUCUUCUUUUUCUUUUUCUUGGCUGUUGCUGUAUGGUGAGCAAGGCCAGCACCGGCGCCGCCGCCUCCUCUGGCUCCGAUCCCGGGCACUAACGGGUCGGGUAAGGGUUGCAGCGGGCGUCUCGCCUGACAUGUGGACCCCACGA